UCUUCUGCCACCAUUCCUCCCAUGUGCCUCAAUUGUACCCAAUACAACGUUUUAUAAAUAUAAAGAAAGUUGUAUUAUGUACAAUAGUGGCUCUUGGAGAAAAACCAGCAGCCGAGAC
rnacentral:precursor_RNA from 12 species